AAUAGAUACCCGGGUAGUCCAUGCCGUAAACGUUGGGCACUAGGUGUGGGGCUCAUUCCACGAGUUCCGUGCCGCAGCAAACGCAUUAAGUGCCCCGCCUGGGGAGUACGGCCGCAAGGCUAAAACUCAAAGGAAUUGACGGGGGCCCGCACAAGCGGCGGAGCAUGCGGAUUAAUUCGAUGCAACGCGAAGAACCUUACCAAGGCUUGACAUGCACGGGAAGCCACCAGAGAUGGUGGUCUCUUUGGACACUCGUGCACAGGUGGUGCAUGGUUGUCGUCAGCUCGUGUCGUGAGAUGUUGGGUUAAGUCCCGCAACGAGCGCAACCCUCGUCCCAUGUUGCCAGCGGGUUAUGCCGGGGACUCAUGGGAGACUGCCGGGGUCAACUCGGAGGAAGGUGGGAUGACGUCAAAUCAUCAUGCCCCUUAUGUCUUGGGCUUCACGCAUGCUACAAUGGCCGGUACAAAGGGCUGCGAUGCCGUAAGUGAGCGAAUCCAAAAGCGGUCUCAGUUCGGAUGGGUC
rnacentral:rRNA from 1 species